GCAAACAGCACCUACGAUUGGUGUUUGAUGAGUACCUGAAGACCACAGGGAAGCCCAUCGAAGCCAGUAUCAGAGGGGAGCUGUCUGGAGACUUUGAGAAGCUGAUGUUGGCCGUGGUGAAGUGCAUCCGAAGUACCCCGGAGUAUUUUGCUGAAAGGCUGUUCAAAGCCAUGAAGGGCCUGGGGACUCGAGACAACACUCUGAUCCGUAUCAUGGUCUCCAGGAGCGAACUGGAUAUGCUUGACAUCCGGGAGAUCUUCCGGACCAAGUAUGAGAAGUCACUCUACAGCAUGAUCAAGAAUGAUACCUCUGGUGAAUACAAGAAGGCUUUGCUGAAGCUAUGUGGAGGGGACGAUGAUGCCGCUGGCCAGUUCUUCCCGGAGGCAGCACAGGUGGCCUAUCAGAUGUGGGAACUUAGUGCAGUGUCCCGAGUCGAGCUGAAGGGUACCGUGCGUGCGGCCAACGAUUUCAACCCCGAUGCUGAUGCCAAGGCCCUGCGGAAAGCCAUGAAGGGAAUUGGAACCGACGAAGCCACCAUCAUCGACAUCAUCACACAGCGCAGCAACGCCCAGCGGCAGCAGAUCCGGCAGACCUUCAAAUCUCACUUUGGCCGGGAUUUAAUGGCCGACCUGAAGUCCGAGAUCUCAGGAGACCUGGCAAGGCUGAUCCUGGGGCUCAUGAUGCCACCUGCCCAUUACGAUGCUAAGCAGCUGAAGAAAGCUAUGGAGGUACCGUGCACAUACGAGAGG
rnacentral:lncRNA from 1 species